UUUGUAGAUCUCACUUUACUAAACAUUCUUGCUGCUUACAAUUAUCUCUAUCUAUAACAGUACUUUCUGUGGAAAAUGUUAUUGAAAAAUCUUCAAAUUUUAAGAAAAUUGUUAAAAAUUGACUAUUAAGGGCAAUAACUCCUUAGGGGGUCAAUUGACUAUUUUGGUCAUAGUGACUUAUUUUUAGUUCUUACUUUGCUGUACAUUAUUGCUGUUUACAGUUUAUCUCUAUCUAUUAUAAUAUUCAAGAUAAUAACAAAAAAA
rnacentral:lncRNA from 1 species